CCGAGCACAUGGGCCCGCGGGCCGGGCGGGCUCGGGGCGGCCGGGACGAGGAGGGGCGACGACGAGCUGCGAGCAAAGAUGUGCCCCGGGACCCCCGGCACCUUCCAGUGGAUUUCCUUGCGGAAAGGAUGUUGGCGGUCCCUGUGACCUGUGGAGACACGGCCAGAUCUGCCCUCCAGCCUGAUCUUUUGGCCAGAAGGAGAUUAAAAAGAUGCCCCUCAAGAUGGCUGUGCCUGUCAGCUGCAUGGAGCUUCGUUCAAGUAUUUUCUGAGCCUGAUGGAUUUACAGUGAUCUUCAGUGGUCUGGGGAAUAACGCUGGUGGAACCAUGCACUGGAAUGACACACGCCCGGCACAUUUCAGGAUACUAAAAGUGGUUUUAAGGGAGGCUGUGGCUGAAUGCCUCAUGGAUUCUUACAGCUUGGAUGUCCAUGGGGGACGAAGGACUGCAGCUGGCUGAGAGGGUUGAGAUCUCUGUUUACUUAGAUCUCUGCCAACUUCCUUUGGGUCUCCCUAUGGAAUGUAAGACCCCGACUCUUCCUGGUGAAGCAUCUGAUGCACGUUCCAUCCGGCGCUCAGCUGGGCUUGAGCUGACCAUACUCCCUGGAGCCUUCUCCCGAGGUGCGCGGGUGACCUUGGCACAUACAGCCAUCAUGAUGGUACUUUAAGUGGAGGCUGAAUCAUCUCCCCUUUGAGCUGCUUGGCACGUGGCUCCCUUGGUGUUCCCCUUUUACUGCCAGGACACUGAGAUUUGGAGAGGUAAGUGGCUUACCUGAGGCCAUGUGCUAACAGAGAAGAUGAAGAGAUGAUUGAAACAGGCCUAAGACCAGACCUAAGGGUCUGUACAUUUUCCACAUACUUUCCAUAUCUUUAGAGGCCUGACCAAAGCAGAUCUUUUCCUUUCUUCUAGGUAAGUCCAAAGGCACCUGCCUGCUGGGCCCACUGUUUUCUAACUUUCCUAACUUUCUGAUCCCUUGGAGGUGAUAAUCAAAUAUUCUAGUCUGAGGCAUUGGGAUACAUGGUGCUAGGUUCUGAGACUCUGCGUCAGGCCUGAACCCUGCAUUUUGUGGAGGUGGGUGGGAGAAUGUUCCCCUGGGGAACAUGCCUAGACACGGGGGACAACAGUUGCCCUCAUGGGGAGGUACCUGUUUACUCGCUGUUAUGGGACCGCUUUCACAAAACCACUGCAGGUGAGUGAGUUCCUGCUGAAUAUCAGGCCUGGUGUCUCUAGACUCAUUAUUUCCCCCACCCAACCCCUAUGUUAGUUCAUCUCGAGCCACAUUUUUAUUGCCAUAAUCCAGGCCUGGACAGGCCAAGAUCUUUUAACAAUUUUAAUUACUGAAAAUAAUAACUGCAUUUUUUUUAAAGCCCAACUUUUGGUAGAGUCAGCCCAAAAUACAGUCUUUGUGUUGCCAUCUGGGAACUGGAUUUGGAAUUGUUCUUCCAUGAGACUGCAGAGCAGAACGGCAGGGCCAGAGGUCCCACGAGCUGGUCAGACCCGGUUCUGCUCCUUGCUGGCUGAGUGACCUUGGGCAUU
rnacentral:lncRNA from 1 species